GGCUAGGGGGCCAUCCCGGCUUACCAACCCGAUGCAAACUGCGAAUACCGGAGAAUGUUAUCACGGGAGACACACGGCGGGUGCUAACGUCCGUCGUGAAGAGGGAAACAACCCAGACCGCCAGCUAAGGUCCCAAAGUCAUGGUUAAGUGGGAAACGAUGUGGGAAGGCCCAGACAGCCAGGAUGUUGGCUUAGAAGCAGCCAUCAUUUAAAGAAAGCGUAAUAGCUCACUGGUCGAGUCGGCCUGCGCGGAAGAUGUAACGGGGCUAAACCAUGCACCGAAGCUGCGGCAGCGACACUAUGUGUUGUUGGGUAGGGGAGCGUUCUGUAAGCCUGUGAAGGUGGCCUGUGAGGGUUGCUGGAGGUAUCAGAAGUGCGAAUGCUGACAUAAGUAACGAUAAAGCGGGUGAAAAGCCCGCUCGCCGGAAGACCAAGGGUUCCUGUCCAACGUUAAUCGGGGCAGGGUGAGUCGACCCCUAAGGCGAGGCCGAAAGGCGUAGUCGAUGGGAAACGGGUUAAUAUUCCCGUACUUGGUGUUACUGCGAAGGGGGGACGGAGAAGGCUAUGUUGGCCGGGCGACGGUUGUCCCGGUUUAAGCGUGUAGGUGUGUGUUCCAGGUAAAUCCGGUUCACUUUAACACUGAGGCGUGAUGACGAGGCACUACGGUGCUGAAGCAACAAAUGCCCUGCUUCCAGGAAAAGCCUCUAAGCAUCAGGUAACAUCAAAUCGUACCCCAAACCGACACAGGUGGUCAGGUAGAGAAUACCAAGGCGCUUGAGAGAACUCGGGUGAAGGAACUAGGCAAAAUGGUGCCGUAACUUCGGGAGAAGGCACGCUGACAUGUAGGUGAAGUGAUUUACUCAUGGAGCUGAAGUCAGUCGAAGAUACCAGCUGGCUGCAACUGUUUAUUAAAAACACAGCACUGUGCAAACACGAAAGUGGACGUAUACGGUGUGACGCCUGCCCGGUGCCGGAAGGUUAAUUGAUGGGGUCAGCGCAAGCGAAGCUCCUGAUCGAAGCCCCGGUAAACGGCGGCCGUAACUAUAACGGUCCUAAGGUAGCGAAAUUCCUUGUCGGGUAAGUUCCGACCUGCACGAAUGGCGUAAUGAUGGCCAGGCUGUCUCCACCCGAGACUCAGUGAAAUUGAACUCGCUGUGAAGAUGCAGUGUACCCGCGGCAAGACGGAAAGACCCCGUGAACCUUUACUAUAGCUUGACACUGAACAUUGAGCCUUGAUGUGUAGGAUAGGUGGGAGGCUUUGAAGUGUGGACGCCAGUCUGCAUGGAGCCGACCUUGAAAUACCACCCUUUAAUGUUUGAUGUUCUAACGUGGACCCGUGAUCCGGGUUGCGGACAGUGUCUGGUGGGUAGUUUGACUGGGGCGGUCUCCUCCUAAAGAGUAACGGAGGAGCACGAAGGUUGGCUAAUCCUGGUCGGACAUCAGGAGGUUAGUGCAAUGGCAUAAGCCAGCUUGACUGCGAGCGUGACGGCGCGAGCAGGUGCGAAAGCAGGUCAUAGUGAUCCGGUGGUUCUGAAUGGAAGGGCCAUCGCUCAACGGAUAAAAGGUACUCCGGGGAUAACAGGCUGAUACCGCCCAAGAGUUCAUAUCGACGGCGGUGUUUGGCACCUCGAUGUCGGCUCAUCACAUCCUGGGGCUGAAGUAGGUCCCAAGGGUAUGGCUGUUCGCCAUUUAAAGUGGUACGCGAGCUGGGUUUAGAACGUCGUGAGACAGUUCGGUCCCUAUCUGCCGUGGGCGCUGGAGAACUGAGGGGGGCUGCUCCUAGUACGAGAGGACCGGAGUGGACGCAUCACUGGUGUUCGGGUUGUCAUGCCAAUGGCACUGCCCGGUAGCUAAAUGCGGAAGAGAUAAGUGCUGAAAGCAUCUAAGCACGAAACUUGCCCCGAGAUGAGUUCUCCCUGAGACUUAGAGUCUCCUGAAGGAACGUUGAAGACGACGACGUUGAUAGGCCGGGUGUGUAAGCGCAGCGAUGCGUUGAGCUAACCGGUACUAAUGAACCGUGAGGCUUAACCUUACAACGCCGAAG
rnacentral:rRNA from 1 species